UACGGGGGGAGCAAGCGUUGUUCGGAUUUACUGGGCGUAAAGGGCGCGUAGGCGGUCAGCACAAGUCAGUUGUGAAAUCUCCGGGCUUAACUCGGAAAGGUCAACUGAUACUGUGCGACUAGAGUGCAGAAGGGGGCAACUGGAAUUCUCGGUGUAGCGGUGAAAUGCGUAGAUAUCGUAAGGAAGACCAGUGGCGAAGGCGGGUCUCUGGACAGUU
rnacentral:rRNA from 1 species